rnacentral:rRNA from 1 species
AUGGCUUCGCUCGCCUGUCGCCUCCCCUGCGGUUCCAUCCAGCGCUCCCACCUUCUUCCCCGCCUUCCGCUUCGUCUCUCUUGUCCUCCUCUGCUUCUAUCCGAUUCACUCUGUCCCCGCGCGCCCCUGCAGCGCCGGCGACACCGUCCGGAUAAGCAUCCCGAUCUCAUGUCUCUAGCUCAACGUGAGGUUGGCUUGUCGAAUGCCUGUGUCGGCGGUGUGUUUCGGGUAAUCUAUCUUAAGCAGAUUGAGCCGGUGUUUGUUACAAGAACUGAUUCACUGUUGGCACUUGGCAGCUGGGUGUAA